rnacentral:misc_RNA from 1 species
GGCAGUUUUAGGAAUACUCUGCUCCUACACCCUCAACUGAUAGUAGCCCGAUCUCAAAUCAAUUUUGGAGAAUACAGUUGCAUCCUUCAACUGAUCAAAUAGAUCAUCAAUCUGUGGCAGAGGAUAUUUGUUCUUUAUGGUCACCUUAUUCAACUGUAUGUAGUCUAUGCAUAGACAGAGAGUACCAUCCUUCUUCUUCACAAACAAUACUGGUGCUCUUUAAGGUGACACACUAGGGUGGAUGAACCCUUAUCUAGCAAUUCCUGCAAUUGCACCUUUAAGUCUUUUAACUCAGCAGGUGCCAUUCUGUAAGGAGUGAUGGAAAUUGGUUCCACACCAGGCAUAAUCUCAAUGUCAAACUGCACCUCUCUCUUUGGAGGCAAUCCCGACAAUUCUUCCGAAAAGACAUCCAAAAAAUCACAUAUAGUAGGAAUAUCCCUUAAUUCUGGGCUCCCUACUUGGGUGUCUAUCACAUGGGCCAAAUAUGCUUCACACCCUUUCUAAUCAUCUUUCUAGCAAGUGCAGCUGAAAUAAUGUUGGAUGGCAAUAAUUGCCUCUCUCCGUGUAUCACUACAUCUGCGUACUCUGGAAGACCAAAAGUGAUUGUUUUCAACCUACAGUCGAUCAUGGCAUGAUGCCUGGCUAAC